rnacentral:rRNA from 1 species
UACGGAGGGGGCGAGCGUUAUUCGGAAUUAUUGGGCGUAAAGAGCUCGUAGGCGGUUUGUCGCGUCGUUCGUGAAAUCUCCACGCUUAACGUGGAGCGUGCGGUCGAUACGGGCAGACUUGAGUUCGGUAGAGGGUGACGGAAUUCCCGGUGUAGCGGUGAAAUGCGUAGAUAUCGGGAGGAACAUCGAUGGCGAAGGCAAUCACCUGGGCCUGAACUGACACUGUGACACGAAAGCGUGGGGAGCAAACAGG